UACGGAGGUGGCAAGCGUUGCUCGGAAUCACUGGGCGUAAAGGGCGCGUAGGCGGGGAGGUAAGUCGGGUGUGAAAUCCCUCGGCCCAACCGAGGAACUGCGCCCGAGACUGCUUCUCUUGAGUCCCGGAGAGGAAGAUGGAAUUCCCGGUGUAGCGGUGAAAUGUGUAGAGAUCGGGAGGAACACCGGUGGCGAAGGCGGCUCUCUGGGACGGUACUGACGCUGAGACGCGAAAGCGUGGGGAGCGAACAGG
rnacentral:rRNA from 1 species